GAGGGAGAGAAAGAUAAUGUGUUGGUGGGUUUGGAACCCAGUCUCAUGUUUCUACAGAUAUUGGACAUAGUUCCGGAUAAGUUCAGAGUUGUGGCCCUAGCAGCUGGCUCAAAUGUUACUCUUCUUGUGGAUCAGGUGAAGAGGUUCAAACCCAAACUAGUUGCUGUUAGAAAUGAAUCAUUAGUUGAUGAGCUUCAAGAGGCUCUAUCUGGUUUAGAAGACAAGCCUGAGAUCAUUCCUGGGGAGCAAGGAGAAAUUGCUAAUGGUUUUCUUUCUCAGGUUGCUCGGCACCCAGAUGCAGUCACAGUAGUUACAGGAAUAGUUGGUUGUGCAGGACUGAGGCCUAUAGUGGCUGCAAUAGAAGUUGGGAAAGACAUCGCUUUAGCCAAUAAGGAGACUCUGAUUGCUGGAGGCCCAUUUGUUCUUCCUCUUGCGCACAAGCAUAAUGUGAAAAUUCUUCCUGCUGAUUCAGAACAUUCUGCAAUUUUUCAGGUAUAAAAAUGUAUCCAUAUUGAUAGCCGACUCUAUCUAAUAAGUUAUGCUGUGAUGUUGAUGGAUUGGCCUGUUGAAAAACUCAAAGAAGUUAAAGUUGCGAUGCUCUGAAACAUCCUAACUGGAGUAUGGGAAAGAAGAUAACUGUUGAUUCAGCUACUCUUUUCAAUAAGGGGCUAGAAGUCAUCGAAGCCCAUUACUUGUACGGAGCUGAUUAUGAUGAUAUCGAGAUUGUAAUUCAUCCACAAUCCAUCAUACAUUCGAUGAUUGAAACACAGGAUUCAUCUGUUCUAGCACAGUUGGGGUGGCCUGAUAUGCGCUUGCCAAUCCUCUACACCAUGCAUGGCCAGAGAGAAUCUAUUGCUCCGAAGUGACCUGGCCCCGACUUGAUCUUUGCAAGUUGGGGAAGAACUAUUGAAGUAAUAUGUGAACUGGGCAAGAAAUAAGGGGCAGUGCUUGACAUGAUAUAAUGAUUUC